rnacentral:tRNA from 1 species
AAAAAGAUAAGCUAAUUAAGCUACUGGGCUCAUACCUCAUUUAUAAAGGUUUUAAUCCUUUUCUUUUUA